GGCAGGCCGUGCCGUGCUGGUGCCGGUCCCGGUCUUCAAAACCGAUGGAGCGCCUCGGAAGGGGACGCUCGGUGAGUUCGAUUCUCAUGGCCUGCCGCCA
rnacentral:tRNA from 1 species